rnacentral:rRNA from 1 species
GACGAACGCUGGCGGCGUGCUUAACACAUGCAAGUCGAACGGGUCUGCCCUGUUUUUUGCGGGGUGGGUCAGUGGCGAACGGGUGAGUAACACGUGAGUAACCUGCCCCUCACUUCUGGAUAACCGCUUGAAAGGGUGGCUAAUACGGGGUGUUCUGGCUGUGCCGCAUGGUGUGGCUGGGAAAGAUUCACUUUUGCGGUGUUUUGGUGGGGGAUGGGCUCGCGGCCUAUCAGCUUGUUGGUGGGGUGAUGGCCUGCCAAGGCUUUGACGGGUAGCCGGCCUGAGAGGGUGGGCGGUCACACUGGGACUGAGAUACGGCCCAGACUCCUGCGGGAGGCAGCAGUGGGGGGUAGUGCACAAUGGGCGGAAGCCUGAUGCAGCGACGUCGCGGGAGGGAUGGAGGCCUUCGGGUUGUGAACCUCUUUCGCCGGUGAAGAAGGUCCUGCUCUUUGUGGGGGGGUUGACGGUAGCCGGGUUAUGAAGCGCCGGCUAACUACGUG